UUAAGCGACUAAGCGUACACGGUGGAUGCCCUGGCAGUCAGAGGCGAUGAAGGACGUGCUAAUCUGCGAUAAGCGUCGGUAAGGUGAUAUGAACCGUUAUAACCGGCGAUUUCCGAAUGGGGAAACCCAGUGUGUUUCGACACACUAUCAUUAACUGAAUCCAUAGGUUAAUGAGGCGAACCGGGGGAACUGAAACAUCUAAGUACCCCGAGGAAAAGAAAUCAACCGAGAUUCCCCCAGUAGCGGCGAGCGAACGGGGAGCAGCCCAGAGCCUGAAUCAGUGUGUGUGUUAGUGGAAGCGUCUGGAAAGGCGCGCGAUACAGGGUGACAGCCCCGUACACAAAAAUGCACAUGCUGUGAGCUCGAUGAGUAGGGCGGGACACGUGGUAUCCUGUCUGAAUAUGGGGGGACCAUCCUCCAAGGCUAAAUACUCCUGACUGACCGAUAGUGAACCAGUACCGUGAGGGAAAGGCGAAAAGAACCCCGGCGAGGGGAGUGAAAAAGAACCUGAAACCGUGUACGUACAAGCAGUGGGAGCACGCUUAGGCGUGUGACUGCGUACCUUUUGUAUAAUGGGUCAGCGACUUAUAUUCUGUAGCAAGGUUAACCGAAUAGGGGAGCCGAAGGGAAACCGAGUCUUAACUGGGCGUUAAGUUGCAGGGUAUAGACCCGAAACCCGGUGAUCUAGCCAUGGGCAGGUUGAAGGUUGGGUAACACUAACUGGAGGACCGAACCGACUAAUGUUGAAAAAUUAGCGGAUGACUUGUGGCUGGGGGUGAAAGGCCAAUCAAACCGGGAGAUAGCUGGUUCUCCCCGAAAGCUAUUUAGGUAGCGCCUCGUGAAUUCAUCUCCGGGGGUAGAGCACUGUUUCGGCAAGGGGGUCAUCCCGACUUACCAACCCGAUGCAAACUGCGAAUACCGGAGAAUGUUAUCACGGGAGACACACGGCGGGUGCUAACGUCCGUCGUGAAGAGGGAAACAACCCAGACCGCCAGCUAAGGUCCCAAAGUCAUGGUUAAGUGGGAAACGAUGUGGGAAGGCCCAGACAGCCAGGAUGUUGGCUUAGAAGCAGCCAUCAUUUAAAGAAAGCGUAAUAGCUCACUGGUCGAGUCGGCCUGCGCGGAAGAUGUAACGGGGCUAAACCAUGCACCGAAGCUGCGGCAGCGACGCUGAUGCGUUGUUGGGUAGGGGAGCGUUCUGUAAGCCUGCGAAGGUGUGCUGUGAGGCAUGCUGGAGGUAUCAGAAGUGCGAAUGCUGACAUAAGUAACGAUAAAGCGGGUGAAAAGCCCGCUCGCCGGAAGACCAAGGGUUCCUGUCCAACGUUAAUCGGGGCAGGGUGAGUCGACCCCUAAGGCGAGGCCGAAAGGCGUAGUCGAUGGGAAACAGGUUAAUAUUCCUGUACUUGGUGUUACUGCGAAGGGGGGACGGAGAAGGCUAUGUUGGCCGGGCGACGGUUGUCCCGGUUUAAGCGUGUAGGCUGGUUUUCCAGGCAAAUCCGGAAAAUCAAGGCUGAGGCGUGAUGACGAGGCACUACGGUGCUGAAGCAACAAAUGCCCUGCUUCCAGGAAAAGCCUCUAAGCAUCAGGUAACAUCAAAUCGUACCCCAAACCGACACAGGUGGUCAGGUAGAGAAUACCAAGGCGCUUGAGAGAACUCGGGUGAAGGAACUAGGCAAAAUGGUGCCGUAACUUCGGGAGAAGGCACGCUGAUAUGUAGGUGAAGUCCCUUGCGGAUGGAGCUGAAAUCAGUCGAAGAUACCAGCUGGCUGCAACUGUUUAUUAAAAACACAGCACUGUGCAAACACGAAAGUGGACGUAUACGGUGUGACGCCUGCCCGGUGCCGGAAGGUUAAUUGAUGGGGUUAGCCGCAAGGCGAAGCUCUUGAUCGAAGCCCCGGUAAACGGCGGCCGUAACUAUAACGGUCCUAAGGUAGCGAAAUUCCUUGUCGGGUAAGUUCCGACCUGCACGAAUGGCGUAAUGAUGGCCAGGCUGUCUCCACCCGAGACUCAGUGAAAUUGAACUCGCUGUGAAGAUGCAGUGUACCCGCGGCAAGACGGAAAGACCCCGUGAACCUUUACUAUAGCUUGACACUGAACAUUGAGCCUUGAUGUGUAGGAUAGGUGGGAGGCUUUGAAGUGUGGACGCCAGUCUGCAUGGAGCCGACCUUGAAAUACCACCCUUUAAUGUUUGAUGUUCUAACGUUGACCCGUAAUCCGGGUUGCGGACAGUGUCUGGUGGGUAGUUUGACUGGGGCGGUCUCCUCCUAAAGAGUAACGGAGGAGCACGAAGGUUGGCUAAUCCUGGUCGGACAUCAGGAGGUUAGUGCAAUGGCAUAAGCCAGCUUGACUGCGAGCGUGACGGCGCGAGCAGGUGCGAAAGCAGGUCAUAGUGAUCCGGUGGUUCUGAAUGGAAGGGCCAUCGCUCAACGGAUAAAAGGUACUCCGGGGAUAACAGGCUGAUACCGCCCAAGAGUUCAUAUCGACGGCGGUGUUUGGCACCUCGAUGUCGGCUCAUCACAUCCUGGGGCUGAAGUAGGUCCCAAGGGUAUGGCUGUUCGCCAUUUAAAGUGGUACGCGAGCUGGGUUUAGAACGUCGUGAGACAGUUCGGUCCCUAUCUGCCGUGGGCGCUGGAGAACUGAGGGGGGCUGCUCCUAGUACGAGAGGACCGGAGUGGACGCAUCACUGGUGUUCGGGUUGUCAUGCCAAUGGCACUGCCCGGUAGCUAAAUGCGGAAGAGAUAAGUGCUGAAAGCAUCUAAGCACGAAACUUGCCCCGAGAUGAGUUCUCCCUGACUCCUUGAGAGUCCUGAAGGAACGUUGAAGACGACGACGUUGAUAGGCCGGGUGUGUAAGCGCAGCGAUGCGUUGAGCUAACCGGUACUAAUGAACCGUGAGGCUUAACCUU
rnacentral:rRNA from 1 species